UUAAGUAAAAGUCGUAACAAGGUUUCCGUAGGUGAACCUGCGGAAGGAUCAUUAAAGAGAAUAUGCCCUUCGGAGUAGAUCUCCCACCCUUUGUUUAUAUUACCUUUGUUGCUUUGGCAGGCCCGUCUUCGGACCACCGGCUUCGGCUGGUCAGUGCUUGCCGGAGGACCCAAAACUCUUAUUAUUAAUGUCGUCUGAGUACUAUAUAAUAGUUAAAACUUUCAACAACGGAUCUCUUGGUUCUG
rnacentral:misc_RNA from 1 species